UUCCGGUUGAUCCUGCCGGACCUGAGAGCUAUCGGAUUGAUACUAAGCCAUGCGAGUCAUUGUAGCAAUACAAGGCAGACGGCUCAGUAACACGUAGUCAAUCUAACCUAUGGACGGGGAUAACCUCGGGAAACUGAGAAUAAUACCCGAUAGGCCAUUAUGCCUGGAAUGGUUUAUGGCUAAAAUGAUUUAUCGCCGUAGGAUGGGACUGCGGCCUAUCAGUUUGUUGGUGAGGUAAUGGCCCACCAAGACUAUUACAGGUACGGGCUCUGAGAGGAGAAGCCCGGAGAUGGGUACUGAGACACGGACCCAGGCCCUAUGGGGCGCAGCAGGCGAGAAAACUUUGCAAUGUGCGAAAGCACGACAAGGUUAAUCCGAGUGUUUCCUGCUAAAGGAAUCUUUUGUCAGUCCUAGAAACACUGAUGAAUAAGGGGUGGGCAAGUUCUGGUGUCAGCCGCCGCGGUAAAACCAGCACCUCAAGUGGUCAGGAGGAUUAUUGGGCCUAAAGCAUCCGUAACCGGCUGCAUAAGUCUUCGGUUAAAUUCAUAUGCUCAACAUAUGGGCUGCCGGAGAUACUGUGCAGCUAGGGAGUGGGAGAGGUAGACGGUACUCGGUAGGAAGGGGUAAAAUCCUUUGAUCUAUUGAUGACCACCUGUGGCGAAGGCGGUCUACUAGAACACGUCCGACGGUGAGGGAUGAAAGCUGGGGGAGCAAACCGGAUUAGAUACCCGGGUAGUCCCAGCUGUAAACAAUGCAAACUCAGUGAUGCAUUGGCUUGUGGCCAGUGCAGCGCCGCAGGGAAGCCGUUAAGUUUGCCGCCUGGGAAGUACGUACGCAAGUAUGAAACUUAAAGGAAUUGGCGGGGGAGCACCACAAGGGGUGAAGCCUGCGGUUCAAUUGGAGUCAACGCCGGA
rnacentral:rRNA from 1 species